rnacentral:lncRNA from 1 species
CAGGCGUACUUACUUGUUGUUAGUGACCAUCUGUUUUGGCUUAUUUAAAGUGAGUCCGGUCACUUCUGAAAUAACUGUGGUACUGGGCUUGCAAAGAAUAAAAGCCGCCUGCUGUCCAAGCACAGCUUCGGUCAAUUCCGUUUGUCUAAAUGUUUUUUAAGACACGGCAUUAGAAAACACAGUAAUCGAAAUACAGGUGUUCCGUCAGUAGUAUCUCGUUCUUUAGGGGUGUCGCGUAGAGCUGAAUGCAUCCUGUGCCUGGCUUUUGCGUUUUCAGACAGUUACAGCAUCCUGAAACUGGAAUACUUCAUGGAAGGAUAACGAUUUGAGAGUGACACUCAUCAGCAAAAGUUAACGUUCAAGCUGUUUGCUGAUGGCCUGCAACUAGAGAUCGUUUGAAGGAGUAUUCUUGGCGAAAUUACUGAAACGACUCUAUGGUGAAACUUCAUCAUCUUCUCUUGUUCAUACUUCAAGUAAAGAAGAGGAGGUGGUUCUUGAAAAUCUUGGAUCAAAAUCUAAAGAAAAUAAUUUGGAUAAUGUUCAGAUUUCAUCAGCAGAUGCUAGCACAUCCACUAAUACACACUGUGAAUCGUUUCAAGCUGUUAGAGACACAGAUGAAGAUUGGUGGGAAUACAUGAUCCUGCCCUCAUGCUGCAAGCAGAAGCCCUAUGAGGAACACAAAUCCAACAGAAGGCAAAUAAUAAUUCAGAGACUAUGUUAGUCCCUUGAAAAAGAGCAUUAUGUUGUGUGUCUUUAUGCAAUAAACAUGGCACAUGAAUAUUUGAACAGGUAAGUAAAAGUCCUUUUUUUUCCUUCAAACAAGCUGUAGAAUGUGAAUGGUGUGCCAAAAGAUGGAGCUGGAAAAUGAAGUUGCUGUGGUAUUACUUGUGGAUAAAAGGCUCUGAGCAUAAGUGUAGAAGGACUGUGAAUUGCUUUGUAUUCAUCUAAAACCAGAUUUUGCCAGAACUAGAAGGCUGUUAAACUGGCUUGAAAUAGAGAGGGAUGUUUCACAAGAGUAUGCAAAGUUUUCUCUGGGGGAGAUGGUCAUCCUUCUUACUUGCUCACAGGGAAGAACUGGUAGUGGAUGUAGUCUGGGACAGGAGAGUAGUGCCCAGAAAGAAGGGAGCAGAAUGAUUAGGAAGGUUAGAACUGUGUGCUACAUAAUAACAGAUAUUUGUCUUGUUCGGGGGAUCUGCUUGGUAGGAUUAAUGAGUGGGUUGGUCUAAUUGCAGAGGAGCACUGAAGAGCUAGUUCGACAAUAACCUCUCAAAGAAAAAGAAUGGCUUAUUUUGACAUGCAGAAAACUAAGCAAGUGUGGCAGGAUGCCUGUCUGAGAUGAGUCUGGGAGAGCAGCAAAGUGAAGGUGAAGGAAGGCUGGCUGGGACAAGGUAGGCACAGGAGCUGUGUCAUCACUGUGGAAGCAGUCCUACAUACAGUGCCUGACAAAGAAGAGCAGAAAGUCUCUUAACAGGAACCAGGUUCAACCAACAGUCCAGUAACACCGGGCAAGUUAAUAGUGACAAGGC